rnacentral:rRNA from 1 species
UACGAAGGGUGCAAGCGUUACUCGGAAUUACUGGGCGUAAAGCGUGCGUAGGCGGUUUGUUAAGUCCGCUGUGAAAGCCCUGGGCUCAACCUGGGAAUUGCAGUGGAUACUGGCAAGCUAGAGUGCGGUAGAGGAUGGUGGAAUUCCCGGUGUAGCGGUGAAAUGCGCAGAUAUCAGGAAGAACACCAAUGGCGAAAGCAGCUUUCUGGGACGGUACUGACGCUGAGACGCGAAAGCGUGGGGAGCGAACAGG